UACGUAGGGGGCAAGCGUUGUCCGGAAUCAUUGGGCGUAAAGCGCGUGUAGGCGGUCCGAUAAGUCGGUUGUGAAAGUCCAGGGCUCAACCCUGGGAUGCCGACCGAUACUGUCGGACUAGAGUUCGGAAGAGGCGAGUGGAAUUCCCGGUGUAGCGGUGAAAUGCGCAGAUAUCGGGAGGAACACCAACGGCGAAGGCAGCACUCUGGGCCGGAACUGACGCUGAGGAGCGAAAGCGUGGGUAGCGAACAGG
rnacentral:rRNA from 1 species